UACGUAGGGGGCAAGCGUUGUCCGGAAUCAUUGGGCGUAAAGGAGCGCGUGAGGCGGUCCGGUAAGUCCGCUCUGAAAUGCCCGGGGGCUCAACCCCCGGGAGGCGGGCGGAUACUGUCGGGCUAGAGUCCGGAAGAGGCGAGUGGAAUUCCUGGUGGUAGCGGUGAAAUGCGCAGAUAUCAGGAGGAACACCAUGGCGAAGGCAGCUCGCUGGACGGUACUGACGACUGAGACGCGAAAGCGUGGGGAGCGAACAGG
rnacentral:rRNA from 1 species